CAUUGGUAAAAUUGAUGUCUGGAAAUUUUGUGUUGUAAAACAACACAUUGGCUCUGCAGCUUUUGGCAAGGCCCAUGGACAGAGAGAUCACACCAGCUCGGGACAAUCUGUAAGGAAAUCAGGUUUUCUUAAGUCACCUGAGAAGUCCUCAAGGAGAGAGGAAUGAAUGAGUAGUACCAUAAUAGAAGACUUUAGGAUCUUGUACUGUGCUACUCUAGAUGCCUUGAAAAUAGAAGCAGAAAAUGUAAAGCUAAAUGACUUCCAGGAAUUAGCUCAAUUCUGAUUAUGAUUAUUUCAUAUUGGCACUUUAUACUUGAUUAUUUUUUUAAAUUUAAAACAAGAGCCUUUGGUUUUAACCUGAAGUGGUCUUAGCAUCACAAAAUGCUUACAACUCUUGUAUGGGGUCCGGCAUCUAACACUAUGGGGCUCGAGAUUCUACUUUUAAAUGCAUCACCAUCGAGAGCUUCCAUUUAACCAGCAGGUGUCCAUGCCAGGCAGACACUGAGCAGGUUGUAUGUUCUGUUAAUCUCCACAACAACCCAAUUCAGCAGAAACACGUCCAUUUUACAGGUGAAGAAACCACAGCUCAAAGCAAAUGAUUGUCAGGGUCCCCUCAGUCUCACUGUCUGUCACUCAGACCCACAUCCUUCUCUGUACAGGGAAGCCAUGGGCCUGAUGUGGCUGUGCAAGCUGACUCUGCUGAGAUGAUCAAUGCUAUUCUUGACCCUGGAAGAAUUUAAGACAAGGUGACCCACAGACUCCUGGGAUAGAUUCUGCCUCUGGGUUCUAGGGUGGGACACAGUAUCCCUUGCCAUGGGUCUCUACUCACAUGAGGAGUCUGCUCCCAUGUGUCAGCUUCUAUGGCAGUGGUUCAAAUCCCUCCUAAUGAUGUAACCCUUUAAUGCAGCUCUUCUUGCUGUGGUGAC
rnacentral:lncRNA from 1 species